GUCCAGCCUGUGUUUGCAAUUAAUCUUGUGAAAAAGACAACAUGAUAAUCCCUAUUAGAUGUUUUACCUGUGGCAAGGUGAUUGGCAACAAGUGGGAGGCUUAUAUUGGUCUCUUGCAAGUCGAAUACACAGAAGGAGAUGCCCUGGAUGCCCUUGGACUUAAAAGAUAUUGUUGCAGACGAAUGCUGCUUUCACAUGUUGACCUCAUUGAAAAACUUUUGAACUAUGCUCCCUUGGAAAAGUA